AGUAUGAUACGUGGUGCUCAACAAUCAUGGACACGUAAUUAUUAAGAUUACAACUGUGUAACAUUACCUUCGUAACAUGGAAGAAUAGAUCACCACGUGGUUCCAUAUUACCAUCUUUUUUCCAGUAGUGGUUUGUAAGGUCUGGUUGGCCAUAUAAGGGUGUUUCAGUGUAAUGUGGGCCAAGAAUGAAGAAAGUAGUACACCAGAUCAACAAGUACUUCAGGUCUGGCCACCACCAUACCAGCAACUGUACACAUCACAUCAAUAGUCCAAGAGCCUGGCCCCAAAAUUUUGGCCCUUGGUGCCAUUUUGGGGCAAGAAAUCUCAAUUACUGGUGCUGAGGAUGGAUGCAGCUUAUAGUUGCGGAGAAUGAUAGGUCUACUUUAUUAAGAUAACUCGACAAAAGAAAAAUGCAUUUAUCCACGUUGAAACUUGUGAUAAUGAUCCAACAACACUGGUAACAUCCAAGAACUGACUCGUUAUUGGUGCAUCUUGGUGCUGCCUGAGUGAGGAAUCGGUUUAUAUAAACAAACUCUCCAAAUUGCAGUCUACAUGAGCAUCUGAAUGAAUUCAGUAUUGCCUGUUAAUGUUUUGACAGCAUAUGAAACCAAGUAAGAGAUGUUUGUGGAGGUUUCUGCUUUCCUCAUGAUGUGACAUACACUAGAUCCUGAUCAGAAGACUAUUAGAAGUUUUACUCAUUGGGAUAGGUUUUCUUUUUCAGGUUCUCCAGUCACUAACUGUUGAAGCAAACCCAGCAAAUUCAUGCUUUUUUUUUUUUUUUUUUUUUGUUCAGAUGGAUGGUAGGGCCACAGAGAUGGCAAACUGUUUUCCUGUAUUGAUAUCUGUACACAAGAUGAUGCCUGGUGAAUCAUGCACUCUGUCACUUGAUUUUGAUCUCGGUUCCUGAUAAUUUUGAAAGUUUUUUUCCAAGGACUGUAAUGCUAUCCAGAAUGGCAAACGACUUUCUGCUUCAUGCUUAUAAAUGUGAAUAAUAAUGUCUCCAACUUCUGAUCCCAAUCUCCAUUUGAUGUGCUUCUUGUUGGAUUCAUUCAUUAAAAAAUCUGUGGAAUGUAUGAAGCUCUCCAUUCUAGCUGCAAGUGUGGCUACAGGAACAACUAAUUGGUUUAUCAGGUAAAUGCUUGUUUUAGAUUUUUUUAGUAUAAUAUGUGGCAAGAGUUAUGAUGAUAAUUAGUCUCCACAGUAACAAUGUCUCGACUUGUUUCUGCUAAUAUCAUGUCAUCUUGUUUUUCCACUGCACAAUGUCAAAGCACCUCAACUAUUAACUGCCUUGCCAAGACGAGAUGUUCACGAGUGGAUGUGUUCUUUUCAAAUGCUUAUCUUUUCUACAAAAUAUACUCAGGCUAGUACACUAUCUGAAUGUAAAUGGCACUCUGUUAUGUCUUUGUUGCUCCAAUGCAGCCUGGAUUGUCUUCUGAAUUUUAAGCUUUUCUUUAAUUUUUAUUCAAAUAUCUUUUUAGAGUAAAUUGGCUCCUACAUUGUCUGUGGUAACAUAUGUUGGGCAUCUCUUGCUCAUGUAGAUUUUCUGCAGUUCAGAGAGUUGGUUUAUGAUUCCUCACUCGGGCAACAUCAAGAAGCACCAAUGAUGAGUCAUAGUCUUAAGAUGUUACUAAGUGGUGUUGGGUCAUUAUCACGUUUCAUUGUAGAUAAUGCAUUUUUCUUUCAUGGAGUCCACCUUGACAAAAAAUGUUGUUGGGUCAUUAUCACAAGUUUCAAUGUGGAUAAUGCAUUUUUCUUUCAUGGAGUCCAUCUUGACAAAGUAGACCUCCUAUCGUUCUCCAGAACUAUAAGCUGCAUCCAUCAUCAGCACCAGUAAUCUGAAAGAAACAAUGUGUUCAUUACUGUUAUGAACAGUAAAUGAAUGUUUUGAGGAGUGUAAGAAGAUACCUGCCAUGACUGAGCCACCCCUCUUCAUUAGGGAUAUGGCUAGUGUGUCACUAGAUGAAAUUAUUUUAUGAAGGGAACAAGUCACAUCACGUAUGUUGUUCGCCACUUUACAGCAACCAGCGUGUGUAGCCCAUUGACAAGCAUGAUUGUUGUUAUUUUAACAUCAAAUAACUUUCUUCAUAACAACAAAUAACUUUCUUAAUAUAACAACUUAAAUCACAUAGGAGCUGGUAUCAAAAGAAAGCUCCUGAAAUAUAGAAUAUGAAUGUGAAGUUCAAUCACAAAUACCAGACAUAAUAG
rnacentral:lncRNA from 1 species